rnacentral:tRNA from 1 species
GGAGAGGUGGCAGAGCGGUCGAAUGCGCACGCUUGGAGAGCGUGUUACCAGAAAUGGUACCAGGGUUCGAAUCCCUGCCUCUCCG